rnacentral:rRNA from 1 species
UAGGGGAUCUUCGGCAAUGGACGAAGGUCUGACCGAGCAACGCCGCGUGAGUGAAGAAGGUUUUCGGAUCGUAAAACUCUGUUGGUAGAGAAGAACGUUGGUGAGAGUGGAAAGCUCAUCAAGUGACGGUAACUACCCAGAAAGGGACGGCUAACUACGUGCCAC